rnacentral:misc_RNA from 1 species
UAGAUUACCAUCUCAUCUCACCUUGAAAAAAGAAAACGGAAAACACGUUGAAGUAUUGAACCAGUAAUUCCAGAUCGAAUUCAGGUUUUGUGCAAUUCACAUUGAUAGACAUAUAAACAAAUGAAUGGAGUAAAAAGGCCCAAACUAAGAAAAACCAUAGCUAUCUUCUGAAAAGACUGUUAUGCAAACAGUUAAACAGACAGAAUUUUGUAGAUCCACCUGUUAACACCAGUUCACAGG